UUUUAACAACCUUUCUUGUCCCUUUUCCCUUUUAGCUGGAGAGAAUUAUAAGGGGGGACGGACCUUGUCUGGCCGUCUCUUAGAUAGUAUUAAAGGUCAUACUUGUCCUUUUGGGGAAAAGAGAAGUUGAUUGAGAUGGACAGGAACUGCUGCUGCUGUUAGACUGAUCCCAUUUCAUUUCAGAUGAUGAUUGGUACUCAGCUGGAGCUGAUAGGGAUGGCCAUGUCAUCUGGAUCCAUGUGCCUGAUCUGUUCAAGACAUUCUUUAGCAUUAGGAUGAAGGAGGGAGAUGGUGGGGGUGAUAGCCGUGAUGGUGAAGCUCACUCCAGUAGCCUCUGUCUGUCCUCCCCCUCCCGAAGUCUCUUUCUUUAAGGACCCACAAAGCAAAUGGCAGAUGGAAUAGCUCAUCUCCUCAAUAUUAUGUCUACCAAUUAGGCCUAAUAUCUGCCACACCAAUUUUGGUUAAUUAAUUUCUGGUUCCACAUCUCCUGUUUUUAGUAAGCGUAAUUUUAAGCAUAAUUAUUAUCAACAUGGCCUUUUUUGUUUGGACUAAUUUUGUCUGUCUGAUUCUCCUGUGCCUGUUUAUAACAUUAUUGAAAGCAACUUAACUUACUUUCCAUUAACGUUUUGUAUUAUAGGUUAUUGUAACACCUUAUGAACUUUGAUGUACUUUUUACAGUUGAGCUAACGAUGAAAAUUUGUUGGCCCAGUAACCAGAACACAAUCCCUCUUUUUUUAUGAACUAAUUUUUCCUAGGAUUGGAUAUUUGUUCAUAAAAUCAUAUUUAUAAAGAAAAAUCUUAACUAUAUAAAGGAAAAUGGGUGAGGGGAGUACUUGAUUAUAUUUCAAGGUUGCAAAUUCCUUAUCUCAAAACUGGCAUUUACAAAUCUUAGUUGAUUACAUAUUAAACUUUCCAGAUGUUAACAAAGCGAAGAACUUACAACUCACUUUAUUUGUAGCUUAAACAAAACUUAAAACUGCAGCUGUUCUAUGUCUGUAGAAUGUGUUGGAACAAACCAGCUUUUAUCACGUCUUUGGCUGUAUGCCCAGAAUGGGCAAAGAUGGAAAAAACUCCCCCCUUUUUUUGCUGCUUACACAGUUAAAGCUGUACAUUUUAUACAAACCAUGAACAUUUUAUGCAUUAGUGGUUAAAUUUGCUCACUUGUAGCCCUGAUGGCAUUUUUUCCUCAAGGGUGUGGUAGCCUCCUUUAAAAAGAAGCAAAAAAAUUGUUCUUUCAGAACCACUUUUGCAUUCAUGAGUUAUUUGCAACACUCAAAGUUGGCAAAAACAAAACUUAAAAAAUCACCAAGUUUGGUGUUGAAAGAGCCCUCUAUUUUGGUGGCUUGAGAUUAUUUAUUUAUUUUUUAUUUAUUUAUUUAUUAUUUUACCAUCAAUGUGAUAGCAGCCUUGUAUUAAGUUGGUAUUUUGUUAACAAGGGGGGGGUUACCCAAGAUGUUGUGUUAGGAAAAGUUUGCUUUAAUGACUUGACUUUAAACAAUUUAAAACACUAUUUUUACAACUUUUUUGCUUUUUCUUAAAAAUACUUUUAAGUAUUAUUUACCACAACGCACAGGAGUCUGUGUGGUGAAGAUAAAUUCAUUAAUGGAUCAUUAAGAAUUUAGAUACCAUAGAACAGCUUAUGAGGAAAUUAAUAACUUUGAAUUCAGUGCAGGGCUUAGAUGGUGUGUAAUGCAUAAGACCUGGGGCCAUACACCAUGAAUGUUGAGGAUAAAAAGAAACCCUGGAUAAUAACCCAUUAACUGAACACUGUUCGUGCUGUGCACUUGAAUGAGGCAGGAGUCCUGGGGGGGUAGGGGAAGAGUGCGAUCCUGUAAUUAUAGACCGUCAUAAUGCACGCACACACAAGGGGGCUAAGUUUAGGUCCCACAGGCAACCUUAAUUCUGGCACUGCCUAACUUCUGAGUGCUUGACUUUGCAGCCUUAAACUUCUGUUUAAUGUAGUGCUUGUGGGUGUUCAAUGCUAUAUUAAAGAACACUAUCCACAGGUUUCACCUGGAUAUAUGAGCAUAUAUGGCUUUGUUCCAUCAUUAGUGAACAACUGUAAAGUUUACCAUGACCGAAUACCCUGGUUCUGGGCCUACGUUGCCAGGGGCUGGAUGCCUUUUUGGUUCCCUUCUGGAGCAAGAGGGUAUGCAGAGGCCUCUUAAAAAUCUUAUUUUUGACUUCAGCUGUCUUGGGUUCCUGAUCUGACCAUGAACUACAGUCUCUUUAGGGGUGUGGUUUUGUUCACCCCAGCAGUCUAUCCCAGCUCAGCACUUCAUGUUUCAUUUGCUUUCUUCAUGUAUUUUGGCUGAGAAAACUAGUGUGCUACUUGACAUGACUCGGGUUCUUUCUACAGUGGAAGCGGUACUGUGCAAGAUACAGGUGAGUUAAAAGCAUAGGUGUGACUUGGACGGUUCUAGUGCUUUGAAAACCACUUUUGACUUGCUGAUAAAGCCAUGCUAUAGUAGAUUAACAUUUGUUAUAAGGGGGUUAGUCCAUAGCAUCUUUUAUUCACAACUUACGGGGUUUAAUUUUUUUCUUACUCAGGAGAAAAAUCCAGCUUAGCAAAAUAAAUCUUCUGUCAAAGGUUUCUUCCAUGUUGUGUUUUUUUGUUUUUUUUUUUUUUUUUCACAUUAAAAACUUCAUUUGUCUUUAGUGGUCGUAUGCUUGCUUGGCAGAAGAAUGUUUUGACCAUCAAGUUUAAAGCAUCUACUGACCACUUGGCCUAAAGGACUCAUUCAGUAUCCCAGCAUCUUCAGUUAAAGUGAGAUCUCGCAAUACAGCGAAGCUGUCCUACAGCAAAGCCUGGAAAGACUAGACUUGAUAUAUGUCCAAGACAACCUGAAAUCCAUGGACCUGAGGAGUGAACCAGCAUUAUCUGUCUAUGGUUCUGAAGUUUCUCCUCUACACUUUGAAGGCUAUUUGCUUUCCUUUUACAGUGUUAGGAGAAUUUUGGAACUCUCUCUUUCCAAAGUUGUCAAGACAAGCUCUGAAGAAUGAGAGCGGAACUACAGAGUGACCUCAAUAUCUGGGAGGCCCCACGUACUCUGGUAGGCCGCCAUGUUUGGUUUCACUGCCAAAAAGAGGCAUGGUAACAGAAGACUCUCUCCCCAUCUGGCAGCUGAGCCAGAGUAAAGGAAGGACUGUUGCAGAGUUGGUGCUAGGCUGCAACAUCCACAGAAGAGUUUGUGCCCCUCUGGACACCUGCUCUAUUUAAAGCUGGUCCUGGAAUACCUACAUUUGUAGGAAGAAUAGUUGUUUGGAAAAAACAGGUUUUCACUACAACAGAGCAUUUUACAAAACCUGGGAACAAAUGGGUGCACAACGGCUGAUAGAAGUGGUUUACAUAAAAACCAAGCUCCUGAGCUUCCCUGGUGCUUCAGCAGUCGGCAAUGAAGAAUGGAAGAUAAACAACUUUCCAGCACAUUCUGCUGCCUGUUACAAAUACAUAGUAACAACCUUUUAUUCUGCUGCUGGUAUAAACAGAUUAACCUAAUUUUCAUGUAUUUGUGUAAACAAAAGUAAACUUUUCCUAAAUUCUUGUAAGCUAAAUUGUCCAUUUGUUUAGAGACUGAACUCUUCAUGGCACCAAAAUCCCAAAAGAAAAUCACUGGGAAUUUAAUAUCUAUAAAUAGCUUAAACUAACAUAGAUAUGUCUGGUCAUAUGUGGUGUUUCAGUGAUUUCCACAUAGGAAUCUAGUCUCGAUGGACAAAGUUAACAAUACGUAUCCCAGACUGCUGUCAAUUUAAUUUUUUUUUAAUGCCCAUGAGUUAAAUAUUACUGCAAUAUAAAUGUUAAAUAACAAGAUGUGAGUGAGUCCAACUGCAGUCAAUCAGAGUGGUGUGUGAACAAGGAAAGAAGAAUCUGGCCCCCUGACAAUUCUUUUUUCUCCACUUGAAUAAUGUCAAUAAAAGUUAUACAUAUGUAUCUGGAGAAGUUCUUUUUUAAAAAACAAUAAUUUCAAAUUUAAAUCAUAUGUUGCAGGGAAUGAGAGAGUUUUUUUCUUCUUGGAUCACUAGGG